CUGUACCUACGGGGGGCAGCAGUGAGGAAUAUUGGUCAAUGGUCGGGAGACUGAACCAGCCAAGCCGCGUGAGGGAGGAAGGUACAGAGUAUCGUAAACCUCUUUUGUCAGGGAACAAAGACUGGGACGCGUCCCCGGAUGAGUGUACCUGAAGAAAAAGCAUCGGCUAACUCCGUGCCAGCAGCCGCGGUAAUACGGAGGAUGCGAGCGUUAUCCGGAUUUAUUGGGUUUAAAGGGUGCGCAGGCGGUCUGUUAAGUCAGCGGUCAUAGCCCGGGGCUCCACCCCGGCCCGCCGUUGAA
rnacentral:rRNA from 1 species